AUUGAACGCUGGCGGCAUGCCUUACACAUGCAAGUCGAACGGCAGCACGGGGGCAACCCUGGUGGCGAGUGGCGAACGGGUGAGUAAUAUAUCGGAACGUACCCUAGAGUGGGGGAUAACGUAGCGAAAGUUACGCUAAUACCGCAUACGAUCUACGGAUGAAAGUGGGGGCUCGCAAGACCUCAUGCUCAUGGAGCGGCCGAUAUCUGAUUAGCUAGUUGGUGGGGUAAAGGCCUACCAAGGCGACGAUCAGUAGCUGGUCUGAGAGGACGACCAGCCACACUGGGACUGAGACACGGCCCAGACUCCUACGGGAGGCAGCAGUGGGGAAUUUUGGACAAUGGGCGAAAGCCUGAUCCAGCCAUGCCGCGUGAGUGAAGAAGGCCUUCGGGUUGUAAAGCUCUUUCGGCCGGGAAGAAAUCGCAUCUCCUAAUACGGGGUGCGGAUGACGGUACCGGCAUAAGAAGCACCGGCUAACUACGUG
rnacentral:rRNA from 1 species